UUUUUUUUUUUGCUUUUUAGGGCCGCACAUGCAGCAUAUGGAGGUUCCCAGGUUAGGGGUCCAAUCGGAGCUGUAAGCCACCGGCCUUGCCAGAGCCACAACCAUAGGAUCUGAGCCAUGUCUAUGACCUACACCACAGCUCAUGGCAAUGCCGGAUCCUUAAGCCACAGAGCGAGGCCAGGGAUCAAACCUGCAUCGUCAUGGAUGUCAGUUGGGUUCAUUAACUGCUGAGCCAUGAUGGGAACUCCCUGGGAACUUUCAUAUGCUUUUUUGGGUGUGGCCAAAAAAAGGUGUAAAUUGAAUGUACUCCAUUCAGAAGGAUUUUAUUAUAUAGAAAUCUGAGUCUAAGUCUUAGAAGUGAUCAUAGGAACAGAGUUGCCAAUCAAUAUAAAUAUCCAUGUAUAAGCAAUGUUGAAAAUUCAGGAACAUAGACCAUAAGGAGACCCACCAUCACAAUGAAAGUCAAAGAAGGAAUGUCGCAUACAAGAACACAGAGUAAGGAAGGUGGGGAAGAGAUCUUAAGAAAUAAGCUGCAUGUGUAAUUUUUUAAAAAGCUGUAGGAAUGCUGCGAAUCUCCACCUCAGAUGAGCCUUUCUCAAGCUUGUAGGUAGUGACUAUGGGGCAGAGGACUGGUUUUGGGGGGCUUUACCUACACUGAACACAGACUAGGACAGAACAGCUUCUACAAUUAAGACAAUAGAAGGAAGUAUGCAUCUAAUAUUGCUUCUACCCCAACCCAACAGAAAUUACCACAGUUUACACACACAAACACACACACACACAAAGCACGCACGCGCACCAGGAAAAUAAGCAUUGACAACAAAAUUGUGGAAGCUGGAAGCAUGUGGACAAGUGGCAAAGGAUUUAGUAGACUUAAGAAAGCUGAGUCUAGGAGUUCGCAUUGUGGCUCAGCAGGUUAAGAACAUAGUGUCUGUGAGGAUGUAGGUUCAGUCCCUGACCUCACCCAGUGGGUUAAGGAUCUGGCCUUGCUGCAAGCUGCAGCAUAGGUCGAAGAUGCGCCUGGGAUCAUGCGUUUCUGUGGCUAUGGUGUAGGCCAGCAGCUGUAGCUCUGAUUCGACCCCUAUCCAUAUGGGGAAGAAGGGAAGGAAAUGGAGGGAAGAAAGCUGAGUCUAGGAGUUCCCUGGAGGUCUGUGGAUUAAAGCUCUCACAGUGUCACUGAUGUGUCUCUGGUUACAGCUGUGGUGGGGAAGAGAAGGGAAGUGAGGGGAGGAAAAGGAGAGGAGGAAAGGGAAGGGAAGGGAGGAGAGGAGAAGGGGAAGGGAAGGGAAAGAAAGCUGAGUCUAGGAGUUCCCUGGAGGUGAACGGGUUGAAGAUCCCCUGUUGUCACUGUUGUGGCUCUGGUUACAGCUGUGGCGUGGGUUCCAUUCCUGGCCCAGGAAAUUUCACAUGCUGUAGGCACAGCCAAAACCCACAAACCAACCAAAAAACAAAACAAAAGAAACUGAGUCUGGAGCAGCAGUGGGAAGAGCUGAGAAACCAUGAGAUGCACAGCAGAUUCCUCCCAGAUUCAGGUACUGACACCACCAGAUACCUGAGUCUUGUAGAAGAGGUUGCUGAAUUAAGGAGGAUGGGGUAAAAGAUGUUCCAAAGACCAAGAGGAAAGACCCUAGGACACUGACCCCAGGGGUUCUUCCAGGAACUGCCUACCCAGACACCCCAAAGAAAACGAACCUGAGUUUACAAGUCCCAUCCAAUUGUGCAGAGCUUCUGUCCACUCAUGCAGAGCUUCCAGUCAGCAUUUUCAUCCUUUUUCUCUUCCUUGUGAUAAACAAGAUUCACUGGGAGCUCCCGCUGUGGUGCAAUGGAAUCAGCACCUUGGGAGCCCUGGUACAGGGGUUUGAUCCCCUCCGGGGAUCAAAGUGGUUUAAAGAUCUGGCAUUGCUGCGCUGUGGCUUAGGUUGAGACUGGCUUGGACCUGAUCACUGGCCUGGGAGCUCCAUAUAUAGAGGGGCGGGGUGGCCAAAAAUGAAAAACAAACAAAAACAGAGAAAUAAAACAAAUUUUACUGGACAUUUAAGGAAAGCCUCUAAUAUGAACAGCCAAAUAAACAGAUUAGAGCAAGCUGGAGGAUAUAGUGGAGUCCAUAGAUUUUUUUUUUUCCUUUUUAUGGCUGCACCCACGGCACAUGGAAGUUCCCAAGCUAGGGGUCAAAUCAGAGCUGCUGCUGCAGGCCUAUGUCACAGCCACAGCAACACUGGAUCCUUAAUCCACUGAGCGAGGACAUGGAUUGAAUGUGCAUCCUCUUGGAUAUGAUCUGGAUUCUUAACCUGCUGAGCCACAAAGGGAACUCCACUGUGGAUUAUCCAAAAAUUAAAAAAAAUUUUUUUUUGGCCACACUUGUGGCAUGCACAAGUUCUCAAGCCAGGGGAUCAGUUCUGCACCACAGCACUGACAGUGCCACAUUCUUAAGCCACUGCAUCACAAGGGAACCCCUGGGCCUUUUUUCACAGUUGCACCCUCGGCACAUGAAAGUUUCUCAGCCAGGGGUUGAGUUGAAGCUGAAGCUGAGGCCUGCACCACAGUCAUGGCAACACUGUGACUUAUGCUGCAGCUUGCAGCAACACUGGAUCCUUGACCCACUGGGAGGCCAGGGAUCCAACCUACAGACAACACUGGGUCCUUAAUUGGCUGGGUCAACUUUUCCUGAAAAAGAUACAUGCACCUGUAUGUUCACUGCAGCACUAUUCACAAUAGCAAAGACAUAGAAACAAACUAAAUGUCCAUUUACAGAUGAAUGGAUUAAGAAGAUGUGGUAUAUAUACACAAUGGAAUAUUACUCAGCCAUAAAAAAUCAAAAUAAUGCCAUUUGCAGCAAUAUACAGCAAAAAUGAAACUUCCCACAAAAAAGAAACUCAUGGACUUCGAGAACAGACUUGUAGUUGCCUAGGGAGAGGGGAAGGGAGAGUGAUGGUCUGAGAGCCUGAGGUUAAUAGAUGUAAACUAUUGAAUUUGGAGUGGUUAAGCAAUGAGAUCCUGCUGCAGAGCACAGGGAACUACUACCUAGUCACUUAUGAUGGAACAUGAUGGAGGAUAAUGUGAGAAAAAGAAGGUAUAUAUAUGUGUAAUUAGGUCACUUUGCUGUAUAGUAGAAACUAACAGAACACUGUAAACCAACUAUAAUGGAAAAAAUAAAUCAUUAAACCAGGAUUGGCAGUGGCGUCUCUGCAGUGCCAGAAUGCAGAUCUGAUCCCUAGCCAGGCACAGCAGGUUAAAGGAUCCAGUGUUGCUGCAGCUGAGUUAUAUGCUGCAACUGUGGCUCAGAUCUGAUGCCUGGCUCAGAAACUCCAUAUGCCACCAGGAAGCCAAAAAUGAAAAAACAAAACAAAACAAAAUGAAAAAACCCUAACCAACCCAAACUGUCAACUGAGAAUUUACAGAUUUCUGUGAGUAUAUUACUACG
rnacentral:lncRNA from 1 species